CCUCUGGAGGGAAGCGCUUUCU
rnacentral:miRNA from 8 species